rnacentral:misc_RNA from 1 species
GGUGUGUGCUUACAGCGUGUUCGUUGUACUCAUCGAGUAGGCGUGCGGUAGAUAUAUAAUGCGUUUCUGAAAACUGGUCGAAGAGAUAUGACUGAUUAGUGCACCGAUAAAGCUUGGAUAACGGUAAUAUACGCACACACGUAUAAGUAUAUAUAUAGGUUCGGCGUGCGCUGAUUCAGCCGCGUUUCAGUCACAUUCCAACCAAUAAAUCGUGAGUAAAAGUUUCGCGAAGCUACAAAUGUGGAUAAAUAACGCCUUGUAUAGUAUUGCGGUAAAACGUUAACACGUUCGGUGUGAAAAUUUGGGAAUGAAAUCGGUGAGGAACCCGAGGGUUUAGGUAAUAGGAGUGAUACGUGACGUAAAAGUAAGGCGCGAUUAGCAUUUGACGACAGAAUUAUCAUUGCCGGUGAACUUUGCGCAAUGGGCGGCGAGGUAUCGACGUCGUCGACGCCCCGGGUAGGGGACUGUCUACCGAACCCUGUACGCGACGGCAGGGAUUCUAAGAGCAGCGAAAUCAACGCCACGUAUCCCAUUGAAGUCGCGGGGGUGGAGAGGUCCUCAGUGGUCACCGACAACCGAAGAACGGACAUUGGUUCUGAAAUUGGUACGAGACAUUUGGCCGGCGUCAUGGCAGAUGCAGGGAAAAUGGAAAGUCUGGCUGCAACGACGCCGCACGAGCAUAACGAAGCAACGCCAACCCUGCGAGACGGUGCGGCCAUCGGUAAUAAGACGAAAGUCGACGACGACGUUAACCAAGGAGAAGAGAUCCUACUCGACGAAACCGAUACCGGUAAUCCCGAUCAUGCCGAGACAGAAACGGCGGGAGCUCCGAAGAGCCGCGGAAAAAGAAACAUCAUUACCGCCCCGAUACGUCAACCCUCAUCCGGAGAAUAUCGACUGGACGCCAACGGGAAACCAAGGCUGGUCCUGUAAGUUGGACAAUUGCUUGCAAGUGCGGAGUGCUAGAAAACGACCUGAAGAGUUCACUCGAGUUAGUGCUGAGAUGUCUCUAAGGAAGCCUACGAGUAUGUUCGGGGGAAAAAGUUUGCGGCCGUGCCCUGCAAUUCGAGUCUGUUGCCUCUUGGUCCUCUUACAACUGUUUACCUGUGGCAAUCGCGUGAUACUGGGAAGACACGUGGAUCGCCGUUUUUCCCGUGGAGAUUCCGUCGGUUCCUAUUACACAAGCAAUCGCGUUCCGGUCUUCAUCGACACCAACGAAUUAUCCGGCGUGAACGGUGACGAAAGCUCGAAACGGUUGACUUUCAAUGCUAAUUACGAUCCUCGGCGGUACCCGCUCCUGCAGGGGCCCACACAGGCCCAGCCGGAGGAUUUCGUCUUCGCCCCGGACGUGUUCCUUGAAAAAAUUCACGAGGAACCGGGACACAGCAGGGAUCAAGACGCCGAGGAGAUAUAUGUGUACGCGGGGGACGAAGGAAAGGCGAAAUCAAGAGAUCCACUUGUGAUCAACAGAAAUAUCAUCACUGCCCCUUUCAAAACAUGCGGAAAAGGCGAAAGACAAGAUAGCAAAGGAAAGUGCAAACUUGUAAUUAUGAAGUAGAACCUGAACGAUUGGCAGACGAUCGUACAUCUAAUAAAACGUGCAGUAUCCGUUGAUCAUUUAAUCCAACCAGGCAAAGAAUCCAACCAAUUUCAAACUUCCGACGUCUCUGACUGAUUCCAACGUCACCUGUGCGUUGGAGGGAUUUUUCACCAUCUGAAAUUUACGUAGUUACCCGCUGAUUUCGGAAUGACGACAAAAUUUUUAUCUGAAACAGAUACGCGUGUAUUAUAUUACACUACGUUGUCGGACGUAACGAUGAAAUCAGCUACUUUUCUACAGUGAACAUUGUGCACCCUUAUCCAUAUGAGUUGAACUGUAAUAAUAGUUUUUCACGUGAAUAAAUCGGCGUUUUCCUGCCAUUUACCUUCAAA